UACGUAGGGUGCGAGCGUUGUCCGGAAUUACUGGGCGUAAAGGGCUCGUAGGCGGCCAACUAAGUCGGAUGUGAAAUCUCCAGGCUUAACCUGGGAACUGCAUCCGAUACUGGAUGGCUUGAAUCCGGGAGAGGGAUGCGGAAUUCCAGGUGUAGCGGUGAAAUUCGCAGAUAUUAGGAAGAACACCGGUGGCGAAGGCGGCCCACUGGUCCGGAACUGACGCUGAGGUGCGAAAGCGUGGGGAGCAAACAGG
rnacentral:rRNA from 1 species